rnacentral:rRNA from 1 species
AUUGAACGCUGGCGGCAUGCCUAACACAUGCAAGUCGAACGGCAGCACAGCAGUAGCAAUACUGUGGGUGGCGAGUGGCGGACGGGUGAGGAAUACGUCGGAAUCUGCCCAGUCGUGGGGGAUAACUAGCCGAAAGGUUAGCUAAUACCGCAUACGACCGAGAGGUGAAAGCGGGGGACCGCAAGGCCUCGCGCGAUUGGAUGAGCCGACGUCGGAUUAGCUAGUUGGCGGGGUAAAGGCCCACCAAGGCGACGAUCCGUAGCUGGUCUGAGAGGAUGAUCAGCCACACUGGAACUGAGACACGGUCCAGACUCCUACGGGAGGCAGCAGUGGGGAAUAUUGGACAAUGGGCGCAAGCCUGAUCCAGCAAUGCCGCGUGUGUGAAGAAGGCCUUCGGGUGUAAGCACUUUUAUCAGGAACGAAAGACGUUGGAUUAAUACUCUGACGUGCUGACGGUACCUGAGGAAUAAGCACCGGCUAACG